rnacentral:lncRNA from 1 species
GUUAAUCAGUGACCAAGGGAAGAUAGAGAGGUUAUCACUAUGCAAACUGUGCCAAGGUUCUGUAACAAUCAAGAACACGUGAACACCUACCUGUGGGAGGAGGCUUGGGGGCACACUGUUUCUGGUGCCUGCUGAAGCCAGCAUUCUGGAGAUGGACAGCCGUUCAAGGAAAUGAAGGGAGAUUUUGUAAAUUGCAGAUUCUAAGCAGGAAGACUCAGCCAAGAAUACAUGCUUAGAAGAAAACUGUUUCAAGCAUCGUCAUUUUCGUGGAUGUAUCUGCACAGUCCUCCCUUUCCACAAACACCAACACUGAAGCCCCGACGCUGGGAGUCUCUGAAUUAAGACCCUGGAGAAGAAUUGCCAAAAGGAUUUACUUUUAAGGAAGCCCAUGAUCCUAUAAGAGUGAUCAUCAGUGUAAAUCAAAUCAAAAGACUUAGAUGCUCUCUCCAGCUCUCCAUCUCCCAACACCCAGAAGAGGUGUCAUAUGCGGUUUUUCCUCUGCACCACAUCUUCCAACUAUGAUGUCUAUCAUCAAAAAGUCCAGAGCAAUGAGAUCACAUCAUGGUGAACAGAUACCACCGUAACUCCCAGCAUAAAGAGAAAGCUUGACCCUAGACGUGGAGUGAAUUGAGUGUGCAGGUUCCUAC